rnacentral:rRNA from 1 species
GAUGAACGCUGGCGGCGUGCCUAAUACAUGCAAGUCGAGCGAACGGACGAGGAGCUUGCUCCUCUGACGUUAGCGGCGGACGGGUGAGUAACACGUGGAUAACCUACCUAUAAGACUGGGAUAACUUCGGGAAACCGGAGCUAAUACCGGAUAAUAUAUUGAACCGCAUGGUUCAAUAGUGAAAGACGGUUUUGCUGUCACUUAUAGAUGGCUCCGCGCCGCAUUAGCUAGUUGGUAAGGUAACGGCUUACCAAGGCAACGAUGCGUAGCCGACCUGAGAGGGUGAUCGGCCACACUGGAACUGAGACACGGUCCAGACUCCUACGGGAGGCAGCAGUAGGGAAUCUUCCGCAAUGGGCGAAAGCGUGACGGAGCAACGCCGCGUGAGUGAUGAAGGUCUUCGGAUCGUAAAACUCUGUUAUUAGGGAAGAACAAAUGUGUAAGUAACUAUGCACGUCUUGACGGUACCUAAUCAGAAAGCCACGGCUAACUACGUG